rnacentral:ncRNA from 1 species
UUAACAUGGGGAAUGCAGAGGGGAUUCCCCUCGCCGGUUCAGAGGGGGUGCUCAGGAGCGUAAGCUCCGUCGAAGGGGGA